GUGUCAGCAGCCGCGGUAAGACGUAGGGGGCCAGCGUUGUUCGGAAUUACUGGGUGUAAAGGGUUCGUAGGCGGUGUGGUAAGUCGGAAGUGAAAUCUCUGGGCUUAACUCAGAGGCUGCUUUCGAAACUGCCGCGCUAGAGUGCGGGGGAGGCGAGUGGAAUUACAGGUGUAGCGGUGAAAUGCGUAGAUAUCUGUAGGAACACCCGUGGCGAAGGCGGCUCGCUGGACCGCAACUGACGCCGAGGAACGAAAGCUAGGGGAGCAAACAGGAUUAGAUACCCUGGUAGUCC
rnacentral:rRNA from 1 species